UUAACUCAAAUUUGUAUGGAGUUGGAACGAUUGCCUGCGUUUGCCGCUAGGGGCGUUGUUCCAAUUGUAUACAAAUUUGAGUUA
rfam:Bombyx mori DNA, contig: Bm_scaf76_contig32052, strain: p50T/Dazao, build 2, whole genome shotgun sequence.